UACGUAGGGCGCAAGCGUUGUCCGGAAUUAUUGGGCGUAAAGAGCUUGUAGGUGGCUUGUCGCGUCUGCCGUGAAAACCCGAGGCUCAACCUCGGGCCUGCAGUGGGUACGGGCAGGCUAGAGUGCGGUAGGGGAGAUUGGAAUUCCUGGUGUAGCGGUGGAAUGCGCAGAUAUCAGGAGGAACACCGAUGGCGAAGGCAGAUCUCUGGGCCGCUACUGACGCUGAGGAGCGAAAGCAUGGGGAGCGAACAGG
rnacentral:rRNA from 1 species